AUAAAGGCCUUUUUAAAGGCCAUAGAGCCAGCAAUUUGAAAGGCAA
rfam:Candidatus Desulfofervidus auxilii strain HS1 genome.